rnacentral:tRNA from 1 species
UGGGUUGUGGCUCAGUGGUAGAGUGCUUGCCUAGCAUGCAUGAGGCACUGGGUUCAAUCCUCAGCACCACAU